rnacentral:rRNA from 1 species
UACAGAGGUCUCGAGCGUUUGUUCGGAUUCAUUGGGCGUAAAGGGCGCGUAGGCGGCGGGGUAAGUCUGGUGUGAAAUCUCGGAGCUCAACUCCGAAAUUGCACUGGAUACUGCUCUGCUAGAGGGCUGGAGAGGAGAUCGGAAUUCACGGUGUAGCAGUGAAAUGCGUAGAUAUCGUGAGGAAGACCAGUGGCGAAGGCGGAUCUCUGGACAGUUCCUGACACUGAGACACGAAGGCCAGGGGAGCAAACGGG